rnacentral:rRNA from 1 species
UACGUAGGGCGCAAGCGUUGUCCGGAAUUAUUGGGCGUAAAGAGCUCGUAGGCGGCCUGUUACGUCUGCUGUGAAAUCCCGGGGCUCAACCCCGGGCCUGCAGUGGAUACGGGCUGGCUAGAGGCAGGCAGGGGAGAACGGAAUUCCUGGUGUAGCGGUGAAAUGCGCAGAUAUCAGGAGGAACACCGGUGGCGAAGGCGGUUCUCUGGGCCUGUACUGACGCUGAGGAGCGAAAGCGUGGGGAGCAAACAGG